AAAUGCACAUUUAAGUUUGGGUGGGUUUGAGUUAGAUGCUCGCCAUCUUUUUGUUUUGAUAGCUACCCUGGCUAUUCUUCCUACUGUUUGGCUGCGUGACCUCAGUGUCCUAAGUUAUAUCUCAGUUGGAGGAGUUAUUGCUUCUAUUUUGGUGGUCCUUUGCUUGUACUGGGCUGGCUUGGUGGAUCAUGUAGGCUUUGAAAGCAAAGAGACUAUACUUAACCUACCAACUCUUCCUGUUGCUAUUGGGCUUUAUGGAUUUUGUUACUCUGGGCAUGCGGUCUUUCCCAAUAUAUAUACAUCCCUAGCAGAUCGUAGUCAAUUUCCUGCAGUCCUCUUGACCAGUUUUGGUUUGGUGACUCUGUUGUAUGGUGGAACUGCUGUGUUGGGAUACCUGAUGUUUGGGGACUCAGCUGAAUCCCAGUUUACUCUAAAUUUGCCAAAAGAAUUAAUGGUUUCCAAGGUUGCUGUAUGGACAACUGUUGUUAAUCCUUUUACAAAAUUUGCUUUAACCCUGUCUCCAGUAGCAAUGAGUCUGGAGGAAUUGUUGCCGUCAAAACACACCAAAUCUCACCUGUACCCAAUCCUCAUUAGAACUGCAUUGACAAUCUCCACAGUAGUAGUUGGUCUUGCGGUUCCAUUUUUUGGUUUGGUAAUGGCAUUGAUUGGAUCUUUACUUACAAUGCUAGUAACUCUAAUACUACCUUGUGUUUGCUUCCUGAGAAUCUUGAAGGGGAAAACAAGCCGCCUUCAGGUUACCAUAUGUGUCUUAAUUAUCACAGUAGGUACUGCAUCUGCAUUGGUCGGUUCUUAUUCAGCUCUCUCCAAGAUCAUCCAGAGUAUGAUAUAAAUUUUGGUAAUACUAUGGCACCAGAUGUUUUUGAGCUUAGAGUUCGUUAAGUUUCUAAUUAUAAAGAUUUCACAAGUUCCUAUUUUCUUGUAAGAGAUCGCGCUCAUACUCCAUUUUCA
rnacentral:misc_RNA from 1 species